rnacentral:rRNA from 1 species
GACGACGCUGGCGGCGUGCCUGACACAUGCAAGUCGGACGGUUCUUGUAUCUUCAAGCUUGCUUGCAGGUGCAAGGGAUAGUGGCGGACGGGUGAGUAACGCGUGAACAUCUACCCAUUGGAGGGGGACAACCCGUCGAAAGGCGGGCUAAUACCGCGUAAGCCGCGAGGUGAGAGGCUGCCUAUUGGUGGCCGCCGAUGGAUGGGUUCGCGUCCUAUCAGCUGGUUGGUGGGGUAACGGCCUACCAAGGCGAAGACGGGUAGCCGGUCUGAGAGGAUGGCCGGCCACACUGGAACUGAGACACGGUCCAGACUCCUACGGGAGGCAGCAGUGGGGAAUAUUGGGCAAUGGGGGAGACCCUGACCCAGCGACGCCGCGUGAGGGAUGAAGGUUUUCGGAUCGUAAACCUCUGUUGUACGGGAAGAAGGAUGUGACGGUACCGUACGAGAAAGCCCCGGCAAACUACGUG